GACAACAGUAUCAUCCGACCAUAACCUGUAAAGGCUUGUGUUUCAAGCCAAAUUGCUGUGUAGGAAACGGAAUACAGUGGAAACUGUAGCCUCCGUUACAUUCUAUCUACACCAUGGUAUGACUUCUGAUAAAAGCCAGCGUCUAUGUGGUACGCAAGAUCAGGGCUUCCCUUAAAGAGGGAGAGCAAACAGAACAACCUGUGCUCACACCAUGUAGCCUGGCUAAAGGGAAAAAGAAGAGCAAUGCGUCAGACAGUGCAUUAAUGGCAGCUCCAGAGUCUGAGGGUGCUGUUGGGUCAUCUGCACCUACAGGGACAGCUAUACAGACAUGUGGUUCCUGAGGUUAAAGGUCACGCAGAGGCAAAUCUGGAAAAAACUGCCUCGCUGGACACCAGCAUAUGUUGUGUUUUGCAUGCUGGUAUUCCAACAAUGGCAUCUAAGCCGGUCUUUUCAACAGAGACUUUACAGAAGCAGAAGGCAGAUUGUGACAAAGAUCUGAUAUCAGACCAGUUUUGCUCUACGUGACCUUUAUUCUCAGUUGCCAACACUGGCUCUGUUUCCUAGCUCUUUCUCUUUUUCUUUUCCCCUUCAGCUGUAGUUUAUGAAGGUCUGUUCAUCAACCUCUGCCUCAGGGGCGGUUCAGAUCUGAUGUUUACCUGCAGCUUUUGUAUUUAUACUCACUAACAAACUGAAUGAACACGUAUCACUGUAACUAAAAUUAACUUUGAGGAUAUUUAUAAGAUAAUUUCAUGUUUGUUAUGAUAAAAACAACUAAUACAAUUGUGAAACUCCAA